rnacentral:piRNA from 1 species
UGAAGGGAAACCUGAAGAAAGGCGGUGCUA